UGAGGAAUAUUGGUCAAUGGGCGCAAGCCUGAACCAGCCAUCCCGCGUGAAGGAAGAAUGCGCUAUGCGUUGUAAACUUCUUUUGCAGGGGAAGAAUUUUGGGUACGUGUACCCAAUUGACGGUACCCUGUGAAUAAGCAUCGGCUAACUCCGUGCCAGCAGCCGCGGUAAUACGGAGGAUGCGAGCGUUAUCCGGAUUUAUUGGGUUUAAAGGGUGCGUAGGCGGAUUGAUAAGUCAGUGGUGAAAUCCUGCAGCUUAACUGUAGCAUUGCCGUUGAUACUGUUAGUCUUGAGUAUGGUUAAGGUAGGCGGAAUGUGUAAAGUAGCGGUGAAAUGCUUAGAUAUUACACAGAACACCGAUUGCGAAAGCAGCUUACUGAACCAAAACUGACGCUGAGGCACGAAAGCGUGGGGAGCGAACAGG
rnacentral:rRNA from 2 species